rnacentral:rRNA from 1 species
AUACGUAGGUGGCAAGCGUUAUCCGGAUUUACUGGGUGUAAAGGGCGCGUAGGCGGGGGUGCAAGUCAGAUGUGACAUCUAUGGGCUUAACUCAUAAACUGCAUUUGAAACUGUAUCGCUUGAGUGCUGGAAAGGUAGACGGAAUUCCUUGUGUAGCGGCGAAAUGCGUAGAUAUAAGGAAGAACACCAGUGGCGAAGGCGGUCUACUGGACAGUAACUGACGCUGAGGCGCGAAAGCGUGGGGAGCAAACAGGAUUAGAUACCCUGGUAGUCCACGCUGUAAACGAUGAAUACUAGGUGUGGGGGGACUGACCCCCUCCGUGCCGCAGUUAACACAAUAAGUAUUCCACCUGGGGAGUACGGCCGCAAGGUUGAAACUCAAAUGAAUUGACGGGG